AGGUCUGUUGGGUGUAUUAACGACAGUUCUCACUGUCUACUUGGGAGUAGCUGCUGGCAGAGUAAUCCUAUGCUGUAAUUCGACUAGCAGCCGAGUCAAGCGAUGUAUCUGCUAAGCAAUUAUCUGUGGUGCGAUUGGUGGAUUUCUGUGUGGCUUUUCACAAGAGGGAGGUCUGAUUCCAGUCAACAAGAACUUGUGGUCCCUGUCAUUCGUAUGCGUCACUGUGUCGCUUGCUUUCUUCAUGUUGGCUCUCUUGUUCCUCAUGGCUGAUCACUGGUCGAUAUGGACUGAAAACCCUUUUGCAAAAGCUGGUAAAAACGCCAUAGUUCUGUUUGUGGGACAUGCCCUGACCAAGAACACCUUUCCUUGGAGUUAUACACCAGUGUCCCAUGAGACUUAUCUUGGAUUUUUAGCC